rnacentral:rRNA from 1 species
AACGAACGCUGGCGGCAUGCCUAACACAUGCAAGUCGAACGAGACCUUCGGGUCUAGUGGCGCACGGGUGCGUAACGCGUGGGAACCUGCCCUUAGGUUCGGAAUAACUCCCCGAAAGGGGUGCUAAUACCGGAUAAUGUCUUCGGACCAAAGAUUUAUCGCCUUUGGAUGGGCCCGCGUUGGAUUAGCUAGUUGGUAGGGUAAAAGCCUACCAAGGCGACGAUCCAUAGCUGGUCUGAGAGGAUGAUCAGCCACACUGGGACUGAGACACGGCCCAGACUCCUACGGGAGGCAGGAGUGGGGAAUAUUGGACAAUGGGCGAAAGCCUGAUCCAGCAAUGCCGCGUGAGUGAAGAAGGCCUUAGGGUUGUAAAGCUCUUUUACCCGGGAUGAUAAUGACAGUACCGGGAGAAUAAGCUCCGGCUAACUCCGUG